rnacentral:rRNA from 1 species
GACGAACCGAGCGAACGUUGUUCGGAAUCACUGGGCUUAAAGGGCGCGUAGGCGGGUGCUCAAGUCCGGGGUGAAAUCCUCCAGCUCAACUGGAGAACUGCCUCGGAUACUGGGUGCCUCGAGGGUGGUAGGGGUAUGCGGAACUAUCGGUGGAGCGGUGAAAUGCGUUGAUAUCGAUAGGAACUCCGGUGGCGAAGGCGGCAUACUGGACACAUCUGACGCUGAGGCGCGAAAGCCAGGGGAGCAAACGGG